AUCAAGGCUUCACCGCCUGGCUUGAAGUCUCAAGAUACAGAACACACCCAGACGCAAGUCGGGGUGAAAAACACAUUUCAAAGGCAGGGACAGCUUUCCACGUGGACAUCUGUACGCAACUCUCAGAACCAUCCCUGGCUGUGAAAUACGGUAAGGCCAUGCCAGCGUGUCCCAAGGGAAGUUCAGUCCUGUUGGCACACGUCUGUUGGCACCUUAAUUAAACUAUAAGCUCCCUGAGAAUAGGGACCGACCGGUCUGAUAAGUUUUUGUCAUUUUGAGUUUCCAGCUCUAGAUGGAUGCCUUGUAUACAGAAGGCACUCGCUAAGUGUUUGCUGAUGGUCGUUGCGACUUCCCAAAUAAGUUUUUGCAAUGCUGCUUCUAGAGCUCUGCCUUUUCCUCUGUAGAGAUUGUGGUACCGUGCUGAUUUCUCCAGUGAGUACAGAAUCUUGUCUAUCAGGGAUGAUUUAUUAUGUGUAAUUAUGUUUCUGACCCUUGCAGAGUGGAAUUUUUUCCCAAAAUAUUGGUACUAUUUCCUUGUAACAUAGCCUGAAUCCCAGGACAGGAAAGACUUGAUCCGAAGAGAAUGUGGUGGUCAUGUGAGGUUAACUUCUUCAUCAGCAGAUGAAAAAGGAGAUAAAGGGACCAUCAGGGGUCAUCCAGCCAGUUCACUUAUCAACCUGCCUUUGGAGGCUGAUUCCUAACAUAGAAAAUAGUUGGUAUGAUUCACAACUUCUUCAGAUGUUUUUAAUGUUUUUUAUUUUUGAGAGAAAGAGACAGAGGGUGAGUGGGGGAGAGGGAGAGAGAGAGGGAGACACAGAAUCCGAAACAGGCUCCAGGCUCCAAGCUGACAGCACAGAGCCCGACGUGGGGCUCGAACCCGCUGACCGUGAGAUCGUGACCUGAGCUGAAGUCGGACGCUUAACCGACUGAGCCACCUGGGUGCCCAACAAAGUCUUCAGAUUUUGGAUCAACUGUGUUUGGCCAAGUUUUUCUGUAUUAAAUGUAUGAUAACAUUUUA